GUCUCUGUGGCGCAAUGGAUUAGCGCGACUGGACUUCAUAAUCCAGAGGUUCCGGGUUCGAGUCCCGGCAGGGAUG
rnacentral:tRNA from 1 species